UACAGAGGUCUCAAGCGUUGUUCGGAUUCAUUGGGCGUAAAGGGUGCGUAGGUGGCGCCAUAAGUCAGGUGUGAAAUCUCGGGGCUUAACUCCGAAACUGCAUUUGAUACUGUGGUGCUUGAGGACUGGAGAGGAGACUGGAAUUUACGGUGUAGCAGUGAAAUGCGUAGAGAUCGGGAGGAACACCAGAGGCGAAGGCGGCGACCUGGACAAGUACUGACACUCAACUACGAAAGCGUGGGGAGCAAACAGG
rnacentral:rRNA from 1 species